CGGAAUAAAGUAAUUGUCUGAGAUAACUUCACUCGUUUUACCUGUAAAAAUUUGUCAAGUAUAAAGUUCUUCUUCCACUUUCUGAAAUUAGAAUAUCAUAAAUAAAUAUUUGUUCAUAGCUUAGUGUAGUUGCUCUCCGUUGCAUUUAUUUUGCAUGAUGAAAAAUUUUCAGCUCAUUCUUAAAGUAUCCUGAUUGUGCAAUUUACAAAUAUUGUAACAAGUGAUUGUCUCGGUGACUCUUCCAGAUUGUUGCAACAUUGAGCUGUUGAACUGAUUGGAGUUCUAACGCUUUUAUAUACCAACUUUCUGUAGCAAUGAAUCCUGAACAAACAAGAACAUCCCGCAUAAUGAAACAGGCUUAUGAAAAGAAUACCAAACGAUGUAAAAUAUAUUGUGAUAUGUCGUUAGCUGAAAGUGCCAUUAUAUUAUGUUUAUCUUUCUACCGAGUAUCGAGUAGCUAGCACUUUUCGACCAUUUCCUCUACUUCUACAAUUAACACUAGGAAGAUUUCUCCUCACACAAGAGAUUGUGAGGAAAUCAUGAAUUUAAGUUUACUGAACCUCACCACUUUUUCAAGUAAAGAAUUGGAACCUACUCUAAUUGAAAUAUCAUCCCGCGGUUCUGGUGCACAUGGAAAACCGAGUUUUGUUUAUGGAUGAAGUUGUUCUUAUGUUCCUUUAAAAGUUCCUGCAACCUUUUCUACUAUGUCUUCUUCCUCUUUUGGACUUACUAUAUCUUUGUCUAUUCUGCUAAGUGCUUCGUCUGCUUUAAUGGUUAUUAUAGAAGCAUUUUGUAUUACGCCUAUUAUCAAAAAACUAAUUUUGGUCUUUUA